ACCACCAUGGUGACUUGCAAGCAACUCACUGCACUUAGGCACUGGACUACCUGAAUUUCUAAUUCAGUGAUGGAAGGCUGCUGGGUGUAGUCAAGUACUUGAUUUGUCGGUGCGUGUGUCAAGAUGGGAUUGACCACUCCAAUUCAGGAGCUGUGUACAGUCGUAUUUCAAUUUAGCAAAAUCUUGGCCAGGGUAGUCCUAGUGAGGAGUCACAGGACUGUUUGAG
rnacentral:lncRNA from 1 species